UACGUAGGGGGCAAGCGUUGUCCGGAUUUAUUGGGCGUAAAGAGCGUGUAGGCGGUUUGGUAGGUCCGCUGUGAAAACUCGAGGCUCAGCCUCGGGACGCCGGUGGAAACCAUCAGACUAGAGUCCGGAAGAGGAGAAUGGAAUUCCCGGUGUAGCGGUGAAAUGCGCAGAUAUCGGGAGGAACACCGGUGGCGAAGGCGGUUCUCUGGGCCUUACCUGACGCUGAGGAGCGAAAGCGUGGGGAGCGAACAGG
rnacentral:rRNA from 1 species